UGACAGAUAUGUUGUAUAAUGAUGGAAGUUGAAUAAAUGUUGUUUAUCAGUGUAUAAGGUAAACUGUCCAAAUACAGUUGUUAUCAGUGUAAACAGCAAUAAUUACUGUAAUCUCACAGAUAAUGACUUUUAUUACACUUCUAUAACUUUUAACAUUCACAUUAAAAUAAUAACAAUCCAAUAAUAACAGCACUCUCCUGGAAAUGUAAGUCUGAUUAUUGUAUUAUAGUUCACCUGGAUUUAUAGAUCAUUGUUAUAUAGUGUAAAUAUCUUUAAUAAAACAUUAAAAAGCCAAAUUUUUAUGUAAAAUUAAAGAUAAAACUAUAUUUGAAUUAUAGGAAUACAGGAAGUACGUCAUUACUGCUAACGUCACGAAACAAAUGAGGAAGUCGGAGGUCAGACAGCGUGGAAAGUUUCUCAUUCAUUCAUUUUAGUUUCUAAUGGUGACUAACUACAGCAUGAAAAUGCUUUUUGUCUGCAGUUCACAGUCUCUUUAUUCUCUUUGUUGUGUUACAGCUCACGUCAGAAGCUGAGAGUGAACAGGUGCAAAAUGGGAAACAGUUACUCGUUUUCACCUCUAGCAGCAUCACAGCAUGAGAAACCUGCAGAUGAUUCAGUUAAACCUCAGACACCUCAGAGGGAAACAGGGACCAACGUUACUGCCCAGAGUGGAGGAGCCAUCAUGAUGCCACAGUUUACUAAUGCAAGUGUUGGAGGAGAUGUAAACAUGAUUGUCUACACCUCACCAGGGUGGAAUUGUUGUUGUGCUCCUCCGCCCACUUUCACCUCCGGUUCAUCACAUCCAGGUCCCAGGUUGAGCUCAUCAGAAGUCCUCGUUAUAUCCAGACCUUCGGUGUUCUUUACCUCCACCAGUGUCUGGACUCCAUCAGGGGGUUCUGAUCUUCAUUGUGUAUCAAUAAGAUAUAUUUGUUCAUUCAAAAAUAAAGUAUUUUCUUAUUGAAACAUAUUUGAGUUUCUUCAUUUGCAUCCCAGAAUGUCAU
rnacentral:lncRNA from 15 species